CAGUAGCGUAUAUUAAAGUUGUUGCAGUUAAAAUGCUCGUAGUUGAAGUUCGGAUGCAGCAGAGCUUGGAAACGCUGUUAUGGUGCUUCCGUUGCUUUUGCUUGUCCACAGUGCGUUGCAAGUACGUAUGUGCUUGUGCGUGCAUUUUACUUUGAGGAACAUAGGGUGUUCCACGCAUGUUACGGCAUGAAUAUUCCAGCAUGGGAUAAUCUGGUACGACUUCCAAUCUGCCAUUUUGGUUCGUAGGUUGGAAGUAAUGAUUAAUAGGGACUGUCGGGGGCAUUGGUAUUUGACUGUCAGAGGUGAAAUUCUUAGAUUCGUUGAGGACCAACCACUGCGAAAGCAUUUGUCAAGGAUGUCUCCAUUAA
rnacentral:rRNA from 1 species